UAUAAUUGAAGUCUGGAAUGAAGGAAAAGACGGGUGAUUGCUGUCCCUAAAAAGUGUAAGAAGUUAUUUAAUAAGUGCAAAUACUUAUAGAUAAAUAAUAGACGAGAAGACCCUAGAAAUUUUUUAAAAAGUGAGUUAACCUAACUAAUAUUUUGUUGGGGCGACAGAAUAACAAUUAACUUAUUUUAAUAAUAUGGACUACGUAAAGAGAAAAAUUAAAUUACUCUAGGGAUAACAGCAUAAUUUAUAUAAGUUUGUGACCUCGAUGUUGGACUAGGGAUCUUAAUAUUUAGAAGACGUUAAGGAAGGCUCUGUUCGAGCAAUAUCUCACCCUACAUGAUCUGAGUUCAAACCGGA
rnacentral:rRNA from 1 species